rnacentral:sRNA from 1 species
UAUUUGCGUUAGCGAUAGUAACGGCAUCCUUUUGCUUUUACUGCAAAAGAUAUAGUGUAUAGCGCGGUCUAGU